GGGGGCGUACCGGUUUCGACGGGGAUAUCGAGGCGCAGUCAGCGGGUCGUGGCGCCCACCACGAUAAAAGGGCAACCUUUAUAAAUUAAGUAACGAAGAUAAUUUCGCUUACGCUGCCUAAGUAAGGCGGCCGUCCGCCCCGGGAGUACCACGGCCCGGGAACGGGCGUCGUUUAGUGGUGAACGUGCCCGGACUAAGCUUUGCCUCCGGCCAUGAAUGAUGAAGCUACCGAACUAGAUGGCCCGCCGAUGGGCGUUUAGCAAGGGAAUUUUUAAUACGUCGGCUGCACCCGGAGAACGCUGCGAGGACAUAUUUUCGGACGCGGGUUCAACUCCCGCCGCCUCCACCA
rnacentral:tmRNA from 1 species